CCCCGCUAGGUAGGUUGUUUUCAGCUGGCUGAAAUGCCCUUCGCCUUUUUUAUGGUUUAUGAUUGUGUCAUGUGUUGCAGGGAGAAGGUGAGAACUGACAGUGCCACGUGUUGGUCAUCGUGUUGUGUUCUUUUUGGGCUUUAUUUUGGUUCCUUUUCAUUUUGCUUGCUUUCUUAUUCCCGUUCCCACUUCUCUGUCGCUCUCCGUUUGUUUUUCCUUUUGUUCUCUAUUGUCUACUUCCCUUUGCCGCACUUUUGUGUUUUUGUCUUCUCAACUAUGCUUUUCUUGCUUCACAGCUAUUUCCUUCGUCAGACAACUCUAUGAUAAGAUUGUUUUGAACAGUACUAGUCGUCCCUUUUUUUUAUUGAUCCAGACAUCCCCGAAGUGAAUGCGUAGAAGUCAAUGUUUUUUGAUUGCAAAGAACCUUUGAAAGUGCUCCCCCCUUUCAAAAGAAGCAAAUGAAGCUGCAAUUUUGCAAACUGCUAGAAGGGUUACGAUUGAUGAAUUGGCGAUUUUGGAUCCAUAGUUGCACAAGGUAUCAAAAUCUCACGAUUCAAGUUUACCAUUUUCAACAAAACUAAUUAUGUUGUUAUUCUGACUGUUACAAAUGUAUUAAAAAAACAUAUUACAGGAGAUACAUUUCUAUG